GCUCAGAAUUAGGUAGCCAUGAUCAUUUAUUUGAAAAUAACAACAAUACACAUUUAUUUUCCUGUUAUUAGUUUCUGAAUUUUCUGUAAUAUAUAUCCACCAAAACAAUUUAGACUGCUGAUCAUCUUUAGAGCCAAAUGAAACCUUUUACAUGUGUCAGAGAAAUAAGGCUGAAACCUUUGUCAAGUGUCAAGCACAGGAAUCAAAUAUUGCGGUUCUAUGCAACCUCUCCGAUGCUAGCUGCUGUUAUAUACACGGAUUCCAUCAAUCAGGUUACGAGCAUGGACAACCAAAGAAGGUUGAUCUUCUGUGGAACAUAUGCAGCUUGAUAACUGGUUCAUUUACUCAUUCAUCUGCAAGGGUUUGAGUUUCUGGUUAAACACCAGAAACCUGCGGUGGUGUUGGUUUUGUUUAUGACUGAAGCAAUAUCCGUUGCGCUCGAUCAGCUUGGAAA